rnacentral:rRNA from 1 species
GACGGACGCUGGCGGCGUGCUUAACACAUGCAAGUCGAACGGUGAAGCGCCUUCCUUUUUGGUGGGUGUGGAUGAGUGGCGAACGGGUGAGUAACACGUGAGUAACCUGCCCCCUUCUUCUGGAUAACCGCAUGAAAGUGUGGCUAAUACGGGAUAUUCUGGGUCUGUCGCAUGAUGGGUCUGGGAAAGAUAUUGUUUCGGUGGGGGAUGGGCUCGCGGCCUAUCAGCUUGUUGGUGGGGUGAUGGCCUACCAAGGCGGUGACGGGUAGCCGGCCUGAGAGGGUGGACGGUCACACUGGGACUGAGACACGGCCCAGACUCCUACGGGAGGCAGCAGUGGGGAAUAUUGCACAAUGGGCGCAAGCCUGAUGCAGCGACGCCGCGUGAGGGAUGGAGGCCUUCGGGUUGUGAACCUCUUUCGCCAGUGAAGCAGGCCUGCCUCGUUUGUGGGUGGGUUGAUGGUAGCUGGAUAAGAAGCGCCGGCUAACUACGUG